AACGAACGCUGGCGGCAUGCCUAACACAUGCAAGUCGAACGAGACCUUCGGGUCUAGUGGCGCACGGGUGCGUAACGCGUGGGAACCUGCCCUUAGGUUCGGAAUAACUCCCCGAAAGGGGUGCUAAUACCGGAUAAUGUCUUCGGACCAAAGAUUUAUCGCCUUUGGAUGGGCCCGCGUUGGAUUAGCUAGUUGGUAGGGUAAAAGCCUACCAAGGCGACGAUCCUUAGCUGGUCUGAGAGGAUGAUCAGCCACACUGGGACUGAGACACGGCCCAGACUCCUACGGGAGGCAGCAGUGGGGAAUAUUAGACAAUGGGCGAAAGCCUGAUACAGCAAUGCCGCGUGAGUGAUGAAGGCCUUAGGGUUGUAAAGCUCUUUUACCCGGGAUGAUAAUGACAGUACCGGGAGAAUAAGCUCCGGCUAACUCCGUG
rnacentral:rRNA from 1 species